rnacentral:rRNA from 1 species
AGUGAACGCUGGCGGUAGGCCUAACACAUGCAAGUCGAACGGCAGCACAGGAGAGCUUGCUCUCUGGGUGGCGAGUGGCGGACGGGUGAGGAAUACAUCGGAAUCUACUCUGUCGUGGGGGAUAACGUAGGGAAACUUACGCUAAUACCGCAUACGACCUACGGGUGAAAGCAGGGGACCUUCGGGCCUUGCGCGAUUGAAUGAGCCGAUGUCGGAUUAGCUAGUUGGCGGGGUAAAGGCCCACCAAGGCGACGAUCCGUAGCUGGUCGGAGAGGAUGAUCAGACACACUGGAACUGAGACACGGUACAGACGCCUACGGGAUGCAGCAGUGGGGAAUAUUGGACAAUGGGCGCAAGCCUGAUCCAGCCAUACCGCGUGGGUGAAGAAGGCCUUCGGGUUGUAAAGCCCUUUUGUUGGGAAAGAAAUCCAGCUGGCUAAUACCCGGUUGGGAUGACGGUACCCAAAGAAUAAGCACCGGCUAACUUCGUGCCAGCAGCCGCCGUAA